rnacentral:rRNA from 1 species
GACGAACGCUGGCGGCGUGCUUAACACAUGCAAGUCGAACGGAAAGGCCCUGCUUGCAGGGUACUCGAGUGGCGAACGGGUGAGUAACACGUGGGUGAUCUGCCCUGCACUUCGGGAUAAGCCUGGGAAACUGGGUCUAAUACCGGAUAGGAGCCAUUUUUAGUGUGAUGGUUGGAAAGUUUUUUCGGGUGUGGGUUAGCCCGCCGCCUAUCAGCCUGGUUGUGGGGUAAUGGGCUACCAAAGCGGCGACGGGUAGGCGGGCUGGGAGGGUGGACGGCCACAAUGGGACUGAGAUUCGGCCCAGGCUCCGACGGGAGGCAGCAGUGGGGAAUAUUUCACAAUGGGGGCAAGCCUGAUGCAGCGACGCCGCGUUGGGGAUGACGGCCUUCGGGUUGUAAACUCCUUUCGCUAGGGACGAAGCUUUUUGUGACGGUACCUAGAGAAGAAGCACCGGCUAACUACGUG